rnacentral:piRNA from 1 species
UUCAAUUUCCCUUGAAAAGAAUAUCCAGCC